CUAACAAUCCACUGCUGGUAAUGGAUCAUUUUCUUGCCUGAUCUUUUCCUUCAUUAAAUUGACUCAAAAAGCUGACAAUUCUUGCACUUCUUUUGUUUUUUUUUCUUCCAUUGCAGUUCAUCAGCUUCUAUGAGCAACAUCUUAAGUAUAGCCCUCCAUCUUGAUCACCUAGGCGUAUUUAGUGUAUUGAUGAAGCUGAAGGCCGCCAUAUUCGUUUUGUUUGUGUGUGCAUUGUUGUAACUCUUUUACAUCAGUCGCAGAAGAUAGAGCAGGAUAAGCAAGAGCUCUCAUUUUCAAGUUCCAAG
rnacentral:lncRNA from 1 species